rnacentral:rRNA from 1 species
UACGUAGGUGGCAAGCGUUGUCCGGAUUUAUUGGGUUUAAAGGGUGCGUAGGCGGUUUCAUAAGUCAGUGGUGAAAUACGGCAGCUCAACUGUCGAGGUGCCAUUGAUACUGUGAGACUUGAGUACAGACGAGGUAGGCGGAAUUGACGGUGUAGCGGUGAAAUGCUUAGAUAUCGUCAAGAACACCGAUAGCGAAGGCAGCUUACUAGGCUGUAACUGACGCUGAGGCACGAAAGCGUGGGGAUCAAACAGG